rnacentral:misc_RNA from 1 species
GGAGGAUGUUGGAGAAUGAAGGAUUCGAUGGCCGCGCCGUCGCCGGCCUUUGCUCUAGAGGAUGAAGGUUUCGAUGGCCGCCGGCUCCAAUGCCACUGGUUGUUUCUCUUGGCUGUUGCCGCCGGCUCCGAUGCCGCUGGUUGUUUCUCUUGGCUGUUGAAUUUUUAAUUUAAGUUCUAGAUUUUUGUUUUGUUUUGUGCUUCCAUGAUUUUAAUGCAGAUGAAUCGGGCCGUUCGGUUGAUUUGAGUGAGGCUUGAAGCUGAAUCGGGGUAGAUACGAGCCCUGUGGUAUGGUUGGAUCCUGUGGACGAUCUUGGCUUUCGUGAUCAUUUGCGCAUAUGGUAUGGUUGGAUCCACUGUGAUCGAUCUGGGCUUUCGUGAUCAUUUGCGCGUAUCAGUGUGGAAUUGUAGGCCAGCUUUCAUCUCUCCCCGAUCAGACGAGUUCGGUGACCUUGGUUCAGAUUUUGGUCUUCCAUCUUUGAUGAUUGAUGUAAGAAAGUGAGCCGAGGUUGAUUUUGAUCUGAUGGUGAAGUAGGAUUUAUAUGUUGGCAUACCAGACCUUGCCAUAUCGGGUGCGCUCGUAUGGCAGGUCCUCAGAUCGUCAAUAAAACUGUUGAUUGUUGUG